CACAGAGGUUGGGGACAGUCCUGAUCCCCUGGUGGCUGCCAGAAUGUAGACUCUAGCCCCACUGUGAUUCAAACUUGACCUUACAGUGGCCCCACUGAUGUGCUGGCGAUGGAACAAUGGUCUCUCUUGCCCCAAAGGGCACUAAGGAUCAUGAGCUGCACAUGGCAUGAAGGAGCUUCAGGAGGGAGCAUGGUCAUGUGACCUUCCCUCACCCUCAAAGAAAGGGCAGGGGCUGUGAGAAGGAGCAGCAUGUGCCAGAAAGUUGCAAAGGGGCUUGAGCUGGGACUUCCUCCAUGCAAGGACCCCAACUGCUAUGGCUUCUCUACCUGUGCCUUUCCUAAAGUCAUCACGGCUGUAACACCAUCCCUUCUCCUGCUUUCUGAAAAUACCAUAUCCAUUCCUCAGGACCUAGCUCAAAUGUCGCCUUCUCUCUGGACAUGGGAACCUGAAAUGAACUCCCCAUCAGCUACACUGUCCCUGCUGCCUUGUCAUGUUCGAUAGAAGGACAAGAACCAAUGCUGUGCUGAAAGGAAUGUGACAUCAGGUACUACAGGGGACGAGGAGGGUAAGACAGACCGCCGUGCUCACGAGCCACACACCGUCUUCAGGCUCAGUACCGGGAAAGCAAAGAGGCACUCAAACUAAAAACCACAAGUAGCUACACUGUGUUCAUGACAGUAAAGCCAUUUAGAUGACUACUCGCUAAUAAGACAUUUCUUAAACUACUGUCGCUUUUUAUUUUAUUACAUUUAUUAUGUGUGUGCACACAUGCACUUGUACCAUGGUACAUGUGUAGAGGGCAGUUUGUAGGAGUCAGUUUUUCCUUCUACUAGGUGGGUAUCUGGAGGCCUUUACCUACUGAGCCAUCUCCUGGGCCCUCAUUCUGUCAUAUUUAAGAUAUGUAGCAUUACUUUUGUUUUAUAGGGGGAAAAAAAACCUGAGGUUCACCACGACUAAGAAUCUGCUCAAAGCAGGCUCUGCACCUUGCCUGGGCAGCAGGCUAGAGAUGGCCCUGGUGGCUGGGGUUUUGGGUGAGCCAGCCCUGAGAGCAGGAGACCUGCAGGGCUGACCAUCUCAGAUGCCUCUCAGACCCAGAUCCAGAGCUUUGGAUUGGCCCACCCCCACAUCUAUCCCAUCGAUGAACUGGAGUAUACGAAGGACCCAGGUUUAUAGAUUCACAACUACACGAUCUCCACGACACAGGGCAAAACCAGGAUGUCCAGGAGUCCCAGUAAGGAUCCAGCAUUGAUAGAGUAGCAGAAGCCAGAGGCCUCUGCAAGCAAAGAAGUGUGGACAAAAGGGUAUACUGUAGAACACACUGACACACUAUAGUUACCAUGAGACAUUUUUUUCCUCUGUUGGGGGAGAGGUUGCAAGGGACGGGUCUGAGGGGUGAAAGGAGAGGGAAAUGAGUGGAAUGGAUUGGGGGACAUGAUGUGAAAAUCACAAAGAACCAAAGAAAAGUUGAAAAAAAAAUCUGCUCAAAGCCAGGUGGUGGUUGUACUGGCUAGUUUUGUGUCAACUUGACACAGGCUGGAGUUAUCACAGAGAAAUGAGCUUCAGUUGGGGAAAUGCCUCCAUGAGAUCCAGCUGUAAGGCAUUUUCUCAAUUAGUGAUCAAGGGGGGAGUAUAUUUCUUAUAAAAUACCUUAUGGGUAUUUUAUAAGAAAGCAGGCUGAGCAAGCCAGGGGAAGCAAGCCAGUAAAGAACAUCCCUCCAUGGCCUCUGCAUCAGCUCCUGCUUCCUGACUUGCUUGAGUUCCAGUCCUGACUUCCUUGGUGAUGAACAGCAGUGUGGAAGUGUAAGCCAAAUAAACCCUUUCCUCCCCAACUUGCUUCUUGAUCAUGAUGUUUGUGCAGGAAUAGAAACACUGACUAAGACAGUGGUUUAAGUCUUUAAUCCCAGUACUUGGGAGGCAGAGGCAGGGGAAUUUCUGAAUUCAAAGUCAGUCUGCUCUAUAAAUCGAGUUCCAGGACAGCCAGGGCUACACAGAGACACAGAGAUACACUAUCUCAAAAUCCCAAAAAAA